CCAAUAGCGUAUAUUAAAGUUGUUGCAGUUAAAAAGCUCGUAGUUGAAUUUCGGGAUCAAUAUGUCGGUCGUGCCUUCGGUACGUACUGGUAUCAUUGGUUUCUCCUUUCUGACGAACCAUGAUGUCAUUAAUUUGGUGUUAUGGGGAGUUAGGACUGUUACUUUGAAAAAAUUAGAGUGUUUAAAGCAGGCUUUAGCUUGAAUACAUUAGCAUGGACUAAUGAAAUAGGACGUUCGAACCUAUUUUGUUGGUUUCUAGGAUCAACGUAAUGAUUAAUAGGGAUAGUUGGGGGCAUUAGUAUUAAAUUGUCAGAGGUGAAAUUCUUGGAUUUAUUGAAGACUAACUACUGCGAAAGCAUUUGCCAAGGAUGUUUUCAUUAAUCAAGAACGAAAGUUAGGGGAUCGAAGACGAUCAGAUACCGUCGUAGUCUUAACCAUAAACUAUGCCGACUAGGGAUCGAAUGAUGUUAAUUUUUUAAUGACUCAUUCGGCGCCUUACG
rnacentral:rRNA from 1 species